rnacentral:lncRNA from 1 species
CUGACUCACUCGUGGGUAAUAAGCCUACCAAAAAACCCACUUCCCGGCACUGUAUAUCCUGAUAUUUUAUGGGACAUUUGCAACAUUCUGCCAGUGAUCUAAUAGAUGGAAGGAGGUAUCUCCUUUUACCCUUUUCACGCUUCUGCUUUCCCUUUCCCCAAUAACCCUCUUACACUAACUCUGUUGAGUGUGGCAUGUUUGCUUAGUGGCAGGGCCCACCAAAAGGUAAUCACUUCCGGCUGAUACCCUACCCACCCUGCUCCACCCUCAACAGAUCUGCUUUCUUCCAUCUGCGACAAAUUUGCUUCCUCGUUCACUGGCAGCUUUGCCUUCCAUUCACUGUGGGCAAUUGGGUCUCUAGAGGUGCUAUCCGCCUCUGGCCAUUGCCCUGGAUGUCAAGCUUCAUUUCUCUAGCACAGUCCUCUGCUCACCUUCAGGCUCUUCUGCAAGUCUUGGUACCAGUCAACUGUGUCUCUCUUGGGCUCAGAGCCCUUGCCCCUGUUCUUUGCAUGACAACCCACAGGACAACCUGUGCCUUCUUGAAAUCGACCCUCUCUGAAUUCCUGGGACACUAGGAAUUGCAGACCCUUGGGUCUUACUUCUCUGCCUCACUCAUGGGAGCUUUGUCAUUGUCUAUACCUCCUUACUUCCACUGGGAUGUUUUUUGGAGACCCACUGACCACUGCUAAUCAGCUAUUGUUGCAGGACUACCAACUGUUAGUUACGGAGCUGGAGGGCAAGACUAGCAAACACGUCCAGAAAGAGUGUGUCCAGGUGAUGGAAAAGAAUCAGGUGCUUUAAGUCCUUGGGAGUCAACUUGGAUCUACCUUGAACAGCAUUUUGCCAGGUCCAAGUGGCGCCACAGAGCCUGGACAGUGAAAUGAAACA